GACUGGUGCAAGGUAGCAUAAUCAUUAGUUUUUUAAUUGAAGACUUGAAUAAAUGGUUAAAUGAGAUAUUUAUUGUUUCUUUAUAUUUUUUAUUUAAUUUUAUAUUUUAGUUAAAAAGCUAAAAUUUUUAUUAAAGACGAGAAGACCCUAUAAAGCUUUAUAUUUUUAAAAAGAUUUUUAAUAAAAUAAUUUGAAAGAUUUUAUUUAAAAAUAUUUUAUUGGGGUGAUAAAAAAAUUUAAUAAACUUUUUUUUUAUUUUCAUUUAUUUAUGUUAUAAAAUUUAUUUUUAAAAAUAAUUAUUUUUGAUCCUUUAUUUAUGAUUAAAAGUUUAAGUUACUUUAGGGAUAACAGCGUAAUUUUUUUUGGAGAGUUCAAAUUUUAUAAAAAAGGAUUGCGACCUCGAUGUUGGGACUAAAGAGUAAAUUUUUAGGUGUAGAAGUUUAAAAUUUUAAGUCUGUUCGACUUUUUUAUUUCUUACGUGAUCUGAGUUCAAACCGGUGUAAGCCAGG
rnacentral:rRNA from 1 species